rnacentral:rRNA from 1 species
GACGAACGCUGGCGGCGUGCCUAACACAUGCAAGUCGAGCGGAGAUCAUGGAGAGCUUGCUCAAAAUGAUUUUAGCGGCGGACGGGUGAGUAACGCGUGAGCAAUCUGUCCUACACAGGGGGAUAACAGCUGGAAACAGCUGCUAAUACCGCAUAAGACCACAGUACCGCAUGGCACAAGGGUCAAAGAUUUAUCGGUGUAGGGUGAGCUCGCGUCCCAUUAGAUAGUUGGCGGGGUAACGGCCCACCAAGUCGACGAUGGGUAGCCGACCUGAGAGGGUGAUCGGCCACACUGGGACUGAGACACGGCCCAGACUCCUACGGGAGGCAGCAGUGGGGAAUAUUGGGGCAAUGGGCGCAAGCCUUACCCAGCAACGCCGCGUGAGGGAAGAAGGUUUUCGGAUUGUAAAACCUCUGUCCUGGGGGGCGAAGAAAGUGACGGUACCCCGGGAGGAAGCCCCGGCUAACUACGUG